rnacentral:rRNA from 1 species
ACCAGACUCCUACGGGAGGCAGCAGUCGGGGAUAUUGCGCAAUGGAGGAAACUCUGACGCAGUGACGCCGCGUGCAGGAAGAAGGUUUUCGGAUUGUAAACUUCUUUAGACAGGGAAGAUAAUGACAGUACCUGUAGAAUAAGCUCCGGCUAACUACGUGCCAGCAGCCGCGGUAAUACGUAGGGAGCAAGCGUUAUCCGGAUUUAUUGGGUGUAAAGGGUGCGUAGACGGGAAUGCAAGUUAGUUGUGAAAUCCCUCGGCUUAACUGAGGAACUGCAACUAAAACUACAUUUCUUGAGUGCUGGAGAGGAAAGUGGAAUUCCUAGUGUAGCGGUGAAAUGCGUAGAUAUUAGGAGGAACACCAGUGGCGAAGGCGACUUUCUGGACAGUAACUGACGUUGAGGCACGAAAGUGUGGGGAGCAAACAGGAUUAGAUACCCUAGUAGG